CCGGGUUGCAGACCGUUAUGGUCUGGGAGGAGCGGAGGUGUAAAAGAAGAGCUCAAACUUGGGAGGGUCACUUCUUUCUUUCUUUUUCCAGACAGGGGUUCUCUGUGUAGCCCUGACUGGCCUCGAGGUCCGCCUGCCUCUGCCUCCCGAGUGCUGGGAUUAAAGGCGUGCGCCACCACCUCCCGGCCUCCAUUUCUUGUUUACACUCGGUUUUAAGGCAGUUUUCGGUUCCCUCUGUCCCCGAGUCAACAGGAUAUGUCACAAGAGCUUUUAUCAAAGGCACCACCACCUCACAGACACACGACUAAGAAAUCACUCCAAUCUGUUAGACUAUUGCCCUGGAGAGAGGUAUUGGGGGAUGUAUUUGGGCACAGAAGUAACUGAAUUUCCUGAUGGACUGGAUAUGGAGGCAGGGAGAAGAUGAAGAGAGGGAUGAAUUCCAGGCAAGUCGGUAGAAAUGAAUUACAUUUACUGGCAUAUGCAGAGGAAGGAGCUUUGCUAAUGCAGACUUUGUUGUUGUCGUUUUUUUUAGGGACAAAGAGUUAAUUACUUUGGUUUAUAGUACCAGAGGGAUAGAGUUCAUGGUGGCAGGGAAGACAUGGCAGCGGACGUGGAAAGCUUGGUGGCAGGUACAGGAACCUGGCUCAUUAGACUGCAUCCACAUUCAGGAAGCAGACCUAUUCAUAGUUGGAGACAGGGGCUCUCU
rnacentral:lncRNA from 1 species